UGCAUUCACUACUGUAAGUUGCUCUGGAUAAGAGUGUCUGCUAAAUGACUAGAA
rfam:Salmo salar isolate Sally breed double haploid chromosome ssa24, whole genome shotgun sequence.